rnacentral:rRNA from 1 species
AAUCAAGUGCCUUAAGGGUGUUCGGUGGAUGCCUUGGCGCUGAGAGGCGAUGAAGGACGUGCUACGCUGCGAUAAGCCGUGGGGAGCUGCGAAGAAGCUUUGAUCCAUGGAUUUCCGAAUGGGGAAACCCACCUUCGAUAGCCGGAACUCCAAGACCUUUGUCGAAAGACAUCGGUGUGGGGUUCGAUCAGAUGAUGUGAGAAGCCUAGGCCUUUAGAUUUCGAUCGAAGAGGUUUUGGAUUUCCGGUUAUCAAGAGAAGGUAUGAGACUUCUAAAUACAUAGAGGGUUUCAAGCAAACCCAGGGAACUGAAACAUCUAAGUACC